UUUAGCUCAGUYGGGAGAGCGUAUGACUGAAGUUCAUAAGGUCCUGUGUUCGAUCCACAGAA
rnacentral:tRNA from 1 species